rnacentral:rRNA from 1 species
GAUGAACGCUGGCGGCGUGCCUAAUACAUGCAAGUCGAGCGAACGGACGAGAAGCUUGCUUCUCUGAUGUUAGCGGCGGACGGGUGAGUAACACGUGGAUAACCUACCUAUAAGACUGGGAUAACUUCGGGAAACCGGAGCUAAUACCGGAUGAUAUUUUGAACCGCAUGGUUCAAAAGUGAAAGACGGUCUUGCUGUCACUUAUAGAUGGAUCCGCGCUGCAUUAGCUAGUUGGUAAGGUAACGGCUUACCAAGGCAACGAUGCAUAGCCGACCUGAGAGGGUGAUCGGCCACACUGGAACUGAGACACGGUCCAGACUCCUACGGGAGGCAGCAGUAGGGAAUCUUCCGCAAAGGGCGAAAGCCUGACGGAGCAACGCCGCGUGAGUGAAGAAGGUCUUCGGAUCGUAAAACUCUGUUAUUAGGCAAGAACAUAUGUGUAAGUAACUGUGCACAUCUUGACGGUACCUAAUCAGAAAGCCACGGCUAACUACGUG